CAAACACUAACAUUUACCAAGUUGAUACCCAUAAUGGCACUAUAAAUUAAGGUAUCAUGUGGAAAAACAUCAGUAUGGUGCUAAGAGUGAUAGCAUUCAUUCGCCAUGAAAUAUACAUUAUCAUUGUUCGGCAUAAUUACUUCGUUUAUUGUGAUCGUAUCUGCAAUAAAUGAAUGCCAACAUGCCAGAUAUUAUCUGCAAAGCAAUCAUACGGUUGCUCUAGGCUGCGUUAGUCGCAUUGAAAAAGUUGGAAAUAUUCAUGGUAAUUGUGAAUUUCCAAAGUUGUUGCAUGGUUAUUACGACGUAUAUUUUCUUCGCUGCGCCUGCGACUCUCAAUGCCCGAGUGGUUUCCGAUGCGCCUUCGACUAUUGCUUUCAACGGUCAAUUUGUCGCAAAAUAUCGCUUCCAAAGUGUUCGGUCACGAAGGCACCAACGACACAAGUAUCAACGACGCCACUUCUACCGCCGGCGGAAUAAUCGUUUAAUUUUUAUGUUUAUUUUCGCAAAAAAAUGCUAACUUAUAGGGCGACGCUUUCGUCAAAGACUUUCGUGGUUUUGACGCUGAAUGUAUUUAAAAAUAGCAGGCAUAUUGCGAUGUUACUCAUCACGAACGGCGGCCCAGCUUGGGAAAACCACUUGUUGCGCGUUUCACACGCGUCGCGAGUGGCGGCACCCGCCACCCGUUGCCACACGCUUAUGGCAUGUUCUUGCAAACAUUCAACUUUUUCAAAAUCGCGGAAAAGUAAAUCAUAUUCGGUUUGGGCUUAAUUUUUAUAUUUUGCUAAAUUUAAAUUAAAGAAGGUUAAAUAAUAGUAUUUAAGAUGUUUGUUCAUAAAACCUAGCGGCGAUCUUCAAAAUAAAAAUAAAUAUGUAUUAUACAUACUCGUA